rnacentral:rRNA from 1 species
CGCCCGUCGCUCCUACCGAUUGGGUGUGCUGGUCAAGUGUUUGGAUCGAUCGUCGUGGUCGUGGAUUCUUCCGCGUCCUGACGAUUGAGAAAUUCAUUCAACCCUCCCACCUAGAGGAAGGAGAAGUCGUAACAGGGUUUCC